GUGGGGAAUAUUGGACAAUGGGCGCAAGCCUGAUCCAGCAAUGCCGCGUGGGUGAAGAAGGUCUUCGGAUCGUAAAGCCCUUUCGACAGGGACGACGAUGACGGUACCUGUAGAAGAAGCCCCGGCUAACUUCGUGCCAGCAGCCGCGGUAAUACGAAGGGGGCUAGCGUUACUCGGAAUUACUGGGCGUAAAGGGCGCGUAGGCGGCUCUGUUAGUCAGGCGUGAAAUUCCUGGGCUUAACCUGGGGACUGCGCUUGAUACUGCAGGGCUUGAGGCCGAGAGAGGGUGGUGGAAUUCCCAGUGUAGAGGUGAAAUUCGUAGAUAUUGGGAAGAACACCGGUGGCGAAGGCGACCACCUGGCUCGGUUCUGACGCUGAGGCGCGACAGCGUGGGGAGCAAACAGGAUUAGAUACCCGUGUAGUCC
rnacentral:rRNA from 1 species